GUUUCCAACACAGUGAUCCUUAACCCAAUAUAAUUUAGGCUCCAUGCUUUGAUUCUUCUGCUACCUAAUCAGUAAGAAAUGGAUGAAAUACCAAAAAGAUUCAAGCAUCUUAAUAAUAGUAAAUUUUACAGGUCCAGAAUAUAUUCACAAAACAUUGGAAUUUUCACCUGUUGUUUCCUUGGGAUAGAUAUUCCAGGCAAUAGUCCAGAACUCGGCUACCAUCAACACUGGAGAGAUGGCAGACUUCCUGUCCCUUCUCAUACCCUGUUUGAAUGACUUUGGUGGUGUUUCUUCAUCGGCCAAGUUUCUACAUUAAGGCUGAAUAUGUGGCUGGCACAGGAGCUGCCUCCUGGACAAGCUGCAGGGAAGAUACUUUACCUGCUGUCUCUGCAGAAGAUGAUGCAAAAGAGAACCCAAGUCGAACAAAUCCAGAGGUUCUUCUGCAAAUACUGCGGACAUAGCUGUCUCCUGGCUCACGACGCUUUCUGCCACACUCAACAUUCACGGAACACCCGCAUCGCUCUACUGCCCUAAGAACCUGAAGAUCUGAAUAUUGUCCUCAUGGGGGCUCAUGGUUUAGUAGAUGACAGUGAGUUUGACCAACAAGCAGAAGCUCUCUUACUUAAGGAGUCACUGGACACACUUACAGGUGCACGUUCAUGGUUGUUAACUGUCCUGUCACUGGGCAUAUGUGGGAUCACGACUUACACAAGACUUAAGCAUGGUCAAAUCCAGCAGAAGGGGGUUAAAUAAAGCAGGAAUUGCUUGAGACAAGUCUGUGGGGACCUACGCCCAGGAGCAGAGCG